AACACUAACUGGAGGACCGAACCCACCGUCUUUGAAAAGCCGGGGGAUGACUUGUGGAUAGGGGUGAAAGGCUAAUCAAACUUGGUGAUAGCUGGUUCUCCCCGAAAGCUAUUUAGGUAGCGCCUCGGACGAAUACCAUUGGGGGUAGAGCACUGUUUCGGCUAGGGGGUCAUCCCGACUUACCAAACCGAUGCAAACUCCGAAUACCUACAAG
rnacentral:rRNA from 1 species